GAACCUGAAACCGUGUACGUACAAGCAGUGGGAGCACCUUCGGGUGUGACUGCGUACCUUUUGUAUAAUGGGUCAGCGACUUAUAUUCUGUAGCAAGGUUAACCGUAUAGGGGAGCCGCAGGGAAACCGAGUCUUAACUGGGCGUUAAGUUGCAGGGUAUAGACCCGAAACCCGGUGAUCUAGCCAUGGGCAGGUUGAAGGUUGGGUAACACUAACUGGAGGACCGAACCGACUAAUGUUGAAAAAUUAGCGGAUGACUUGUGGCUGGGGGUGAAAGGCCAAUCAAACCGGGAGAUAGCUGGUUCUCCCCGAAAGCUAUUUAGGUAGCGCCUCGUGAAUUCAUCUUCGGGGGUAGAGCACUGUUUCGGCUAGGGGGUCAUCCCGACUUACCAACCCGAUGCAAACUACGAAUACCGAAGAAUGUUAUCACGGGAGACACACGGCGGGUGCUAACGUCCGUCGUGAAGAGGGAAACAACCCAGACCGCCAGCUAAGGUCCCAAAGUCAUGGUUAAGUGGGAAACGAUGUGGGAAGGCACAGACAGCCAGGAUGUUGGCUUAGAAGCAGCCAUCAUUUAAAGAAAGCGUAAUAGCUCACUGGUCGAGUCGGCCUGCGCGGAAGAUGUAACGGGGCUAAACCAUGCACCGAAGCUGCGGCAGCGACACUAUGUGUUGUUGGGUAGGGGAGCGUUCUGUAAGCCUGCGAAGGUGACCUGUGAGGGUUGCUGGAGGUAUCAGAAGUGCGAAUGCUGACAUAAGUAACGAUAAAGCGGGUGAAAAGCCCGCUCGCCGGAAGACCAAGGGUUCCUGUCCAACGUUAAUCGGGGCAGGGUGAGUCGACCCCUAAGGCGAGGCCGAAAGGCGUAGUCGAUGGGAAACAGGUUAAUAUUCCUGUACUUGGUGUUACUGCGAAGGGGGGACGGAGAAGGCUAUGUUAGCCGGGCGACGGUUGUCCCGGUUUAAGCAUGUAGGCUGG
rnacentral:rRNA from 1 species